AUUAAAUAAACCCAUAUGUCUUUUCUCCAUCUUCAAAUAUCAGUGAGGAAAUUUGCAGAUAUCAAAGUUGAUGUGAAGGAGUUUAAGAAAUGCUACCCACACUGACUAUUCUCCAACCUGGAGCUCAGCUAAGUCCCUCUUUGAAGAUGGAGUAAUGGCAGCCUGUACUGCAAAUGUUGGCAAGUUUAAAGCUGCUUUUCCCAGAAUGCCUUGAGUUAAGGCUCUAGAUGUGUUUAGGUUAUGACACUCACAUAUCCUCCUACAAUUCCUGAAUUGAGCCGUUACCCAAGGAAAGAAGCAGUGGCAGAGAUCACCAUUUUGCUGGUGCACAUCUAGUAGACACAGCAUGUUCCAGGAGUUCAUACUUGUGCAAAUUUCCUCACCUCCAUUUCAAGCCACAGUAGAGAAAUUCUAAAGGCAGACCAGCAAAGGGGACAGUAGAUUCCCUGGCUGUGGCAUGAGAGUUUUGAAGAGUCAAUCAGAGCUUGGCCUAGAGCCCACAAGUACCCACAUUCCUGUUUCAAAAUAGUUUAUGUUUUUAAAAAUAGCUAGAAAAGUCUUGUCUGUAACCACAAUCAAAAUGACAGAUAUCUGAAAGGCAUUCAUUUCAGUAAACAGUUGUUUACGGUUUGGAUAUAAAGCGACCCCCAAAAGCUCAUGAGUGAGGCAAUAUAGAAAUGUAAGAGGUGAAAUAAUUACAUUAUGAGAGCUAUAUCCUAAUCAGUGUAUUUUUCCAUUUGAUGGACUAAUAGUUUGAAUGGAUAAAUAAAUGGGUGGUAACUGUAGGCAGGUGGAGCAUGACUGGAGGAAGUGGGCCGUGGGAGGGUAUGCCCUUUGGGAUUACAUUAUCCCUGGUUCCUUGCUCUGUUUCUGCUUCCUGGCUGUCAUGAACUGAACAGCCUCCCUCUGGGGUACCCUUCUGCCAGAUGUUCUUCCUCAUCUUGUGCCUAGAACAAUGGAGUUGGCUGACUAAGGACUGGACCUCUGAAACUGUGAGCCAAACCAAACAUCUCUCCCCCUAAAUUGUUCUUGUCAGGUCUUUCAGUCACAGCAUCGAAAAGCUAACUAAAACAAUAGUAUCAACAAUUGCAUAGUUCCUUAGGACAAAAAGUUUAUUUGCUAUGUUAUAGAUUUCAUGGCCUACUCAUCACUUACUUCUCAGCACUAUUUUCAAAAUAUAUUCUAAAUCAUCCUUCCUCUCUUUACUGCCUAGACUCUGACACUGUGCCCAAAUAAAAUGAAACAUGGCAAUAUUUAGAAGAACAAGAGUUUGUUUCAUUUGCAAAAAUAUUGACAGUAAUUACAGAGUAAUACUAGAUCUCUUCAAGAAAGCACAAAAUAAAGUCUCUAAGAAACUGCAAUAGAAUAAUGAAGGCUACAAAUUUUUGCUGAGAGAAAUUAAGGAAGGCCUGCCUUAAUGGAAUUAUAUACCAUGUUCAUGGCCAAGAAACUCAAUAUUGUUAACAUGUCAGUUCUCCCCAGGUUCAUUAUAGAUUCAAAGCAAUUCCCAUCAAGAAAGUAGCAAAGCUUUAAAAAAAAUUUAAAAAUGGAUAUAAAAUUAAUGUAGAAAAGUGAAGAAUCUAGGCUGUCCAAAACAUUUUAAAAUCAGAACAAAAUGGCAGCCCUUAUGCUAUCUGAUUUUCAGAUUUACUAUAAAGCUUCAGACAUUUUUUAAAAAGUGAGUUAUUGACCUAAAAUUAGUGAUAUAAAUCAAUGAAACAAAAUAAACAUUCCAAAAAUAGGCUCACACAUAAGGUUAAUUGGUUUUUGACAAUGAUGACAAGCAUUUAGUAGAGAAAAGACAUUUUCUCUAAACAAAGAUUCAAAACAACUGGAUAUUCAUAUAAAAAGGCACUUCAGUUCUUACCUCUACCUCACACAAACAGUAACAGGAUAAAACACAGACCUAUUUAUAAAGCUAAAACUACAAAAUUUCUAGAAGAAAACAUACAAGGAAAUCUUAUUAUUUUUGAUCAAUUCAGAUUUCUCUGGACAUCAUAAGCAAAAACUAUAAAAGAAAAGCUGUGAUAAAUAGGGCCUCAUAGAAAUUC
rnacentral:lncRNA from 1 species